AUGCCUACUAAUCGUUUUUCCCAGAUUUGGAAGGCCCGGAUUCCCCCUAAGAUUAAGAUUUUCUUAUGGCAAGCCUUCAGAGGCCGACUGCCUUCGGCUGAUCAGAUUCGUAAGAGAAAUGGGCUGGGAUCCCAAUUCUGUGCUCUGUGCGGUGCUGUGGAGGAUACGGAGCAUAUUUUUUUCCACUGUGUCUUGGCUAAGCUCAUUUGGAGUUGCGUGAGGGAUUGGCUUCUUGUCUCUUGGGCCCCUGCCUCCUUUGCCGAGCUGCGCAGCUUAGCAAGCAACCUUUCUGGCGUCUCCAGACGUAUCUUUUGGGUGGGCCUGGGGGCUUUUUGCUGGUCCCUUUGGACGACUAGGAACAAAUUUACUAUUGAGCACGUGUUUCCGGCUAAACCUGCUGAUUGCUUAUUUAAAUCGUGUGCUUUCUUGCAGCAGUGGAAAUCAUUGACUAAGGUCGACGACCAGGAUGCACUCUCUAUGCUGAUCUCCAAAGUUCGGGCUUCGGCUUCUCAGUUAUGCAGACAAGAGCAUGAUGAUUAG
rnacentral:rRNA from 1 species